CCUACGGGGGGCUGCAGUGGGGAAUCUUGCGCAAUGGGCGAAAGCCUGACGCAGCGACGCCGCGUGGGGGAAGAAGGCUUUCGGGUUGUAAACCCCUUUCAGGAGAGACGCGGUACCUCCAGAAGAAGCCCCGGCUAACUACGUGCCAGCAGCCGCGGUAAUACGUAGGGGGCAAGCGUUGUCCGGAUUUAUUGGGCGUAAAGAGCGUGUAGGCGGCUGGGUAGGUCCGUUGUGAAAACUCGAGGCUCAACCUCGAGACGCCGAUGGAAACCCCCCAGCUAGAGUCCGGAAGAGGAGAGUGGAAUUCCUGGUGUAGCGGUGAAAUGCGCAGAUAUCAGGAAGAACACCCGUGGCUAAGGCGGCUCUCUAGUACGUCUGACGCUGAGACGCGAAAGCGUGGGGAGCGAACAGGAUUAGAUACCCUUGUAGUC
rnacentral:rRNA from 1 species